AAUAAUUUAUUUGAUGGUUCCUUACUACAUGGAUAACUGUAGUAAUUCUAGAGCUAAUACAUGCGUAAAGUCCCGACUCUCGCGGGGAGGGAUGUAUUUAUUAGAUAAAAAGCCAAUGCGGGUUCUGCCCGGUUUUGUGGUGAAUCAUAGUAACUUUUCGAAUCGUAUGGCUUCACGCCGGCGAUAGUUCAUUCAAAUUUCUGCCCUAUCAGCUUUCGACGGUAGUGUAGUGGACUACCGUGGCGUUAACGGGUAACGGAGAAUUAGGGUUCGAUUCCGGAGAGGGAGCCUGAGAAACGGCUACCACA
rnacentral:rRNA from 1 species